UCCCCCUUAGUUCAGUCGGUAGAACGGCGGACUGUUAAUCCGUAUGUCGCAAGUUCAAGUCUUGCAGGGGAGCCA
rnacentral:tRNA from 1 species